rnacentral:misc_RNA from 1 species
GAACGCACCUUGCGCUCCUGGGUAUUCCCAGGAGCAUGCCUGUUUGAGUGUCAUGAAUCCCUCAAAUCCCAAUGUUUUGCAAAACUCAUUGCUUGGAUUUGGUCAUGGGCCGACUUUGCUACUUUAUUGUUAGCUGGCCUUAAAGACAUUAGCUUGGACUUUCGAACCUUUUCGGAAGGGUCUCCAUAUGAUGUGAUAAAUUUACGUCGAUGGGCUAAUGACUCUACUGUUGUUAAUGGUUUUGAAAACGAAUAGUCUAGCUUUCUAACCCGGCGAAGAGUUCCAUCUCUGACCCACUUUUCAUUUAACUCUGGCCUCAAAUCAGGUAGGACUACCCGCUGAACUUAAG